AGUAUCUCUGGGUGCCCCAUAAGCACCUCUGGGUGCCCCAUAAGUGCCUUUGGGUGCCCCCUAAGUAUCUCUGGGUGCCCCAUAAGCACCUCUGGGUGCCCCAUAAGUACUUCUAAUGCCCCAUGAGCACCUCUGGGUGCCCCAUAAGUGCCUCUGGGUGCCCCAUAAGUGCCAUUGGGUGCCCCAUAAGUGCCUCUGGGUGCCCCAUAAGCCCCCUUGGGUGCCCCAUAAGUACUUCUAAUGCCCCAUAAGUGCCCUUGGGUGCCCCGUAAGCGCUUCUGGGUGCCCCAUAAGCCCCCUUGGGUGCCCCAUAAGUACUUCUAAUGCCCCAUAAGUAUCUCUGGGUGCCCCAUAAGCACCUCUGGGUGCCCCAUAAGUACUUCUAAUGCCCCAUGAGUGCCUCUGGGUGCCCCAUAAGCCCCCUUGGGUGCCCCAUAAGUACUUCUAAUGCCCCAUAAGGGCCUCUGGGUGCCCCAUAAGCACCCUUGGGUGCCCCAUAAGUACUUCUACUGCCCCAUAAGUACCUGUGGGUGCCCCCUAAGUGCCUCUGGGUGCCCCAUAAGUACCUUUGGGUGCCCCAUAAGUGCCUCUGGGUGCCCCAUAAGUACCUUUAAUGCCCCAUAAGUACCUUGGGUGCCCCAUAAGUACCUUGGGUGCCCCAUAAGUGCCCUUGGGUGCCCCAUCUGUACUUCUAAUGCCCCAUAAGUGCCUCUGGGUGCCCCAUAAGCACCCUUGGGUGCCCCAUAAGCCCCUCUGGGUGCCUCCUAAGUGCCUCUGGGCGC
rnacentral:lncRNA from 1 species